CUCCUUUUAGUUGUUGGCUUGUUGCAUAGAGCUAUUUACUUAAAACACUAUAUAACUGAGAAACCAACGGGCAGACCUGAGACAGCUGCCACUGAAGCCAAUUAUCGUUGAGGUGGCAACGGACAAGUUCAAGAGCCUGUACCGUGAGGACCGUGUUGUGGGUGUGGAAGGGGCGCAUCCUGUACGCUCACUUGGUGUAGUAGGUGGCAGACAACAUUGCCACAGAUUAUUAGCUUCUUUGCCUGCAUAAGGAUAGUUACUGUUAAUUUGUUUCGUGCACAAAUACAAGUUUCCCAACAAAAACUCAAAAAGUGCAUAAUACGAGAUCUAUACACAUGAAUUUGGUUUGUGUUUGACGAGUUAAACACGCUUUGUAAAGGUCAAUUGCUGCAACAUCAGAUGUUUCAUCACUCCAUUUACAUUUGUGGCCGAGUUACAGAAUCCAUAACCUAUUUUCCAGUAUUGAUGUGACAUCACACUGAAUCUUACAACAUUGAGUCACAUAAGAUGGCUGGAUCUUUUUUGUAAGUUUCCUCCUUCAGAAAUGACAUUUGUAAGUUAGCAUUGAUAAAUGACUGAAAAACACUCAUAAAUGGGUCUGCUAAGUUGGCUGGAAUUGAAUUUGUAAUUUGUCUGACCUACAAAUUUAUUGUUAAAACUUGUUCAGAAUCUGACUGUUUCUGUGCAUCAUAACAGCACAAAACUUCAAUACAUAAAAUUGAUUCCUACUAGAGACAGGGACAGAAAAGAUGGCUGCAUAUUAAAGCUUUUUGUUUUGUCCAUAAGCACAGGCGGGUGAUUAAACCAACCAUCUGGAAUGUAAAGCUAGUUCGAAUAGCUAAAAACCAACAGGGUUCGAGGAUAAUGAUAUCUCCACUCCAAUUCCAACAUAUUUCCACUGCACCAUCACCAAGUAGCAUGUACCCACCAUGGCUGUCACCCAGGAGGAGUUGUUAGGUGUCACUGAGUCUGCGCUACUGCCUCCGUCCGUCUUCCUUGACCUUCCCCAAACGACCGAUGGUGACUCAAAGCAGCCACAGGAUGACCUGUUCCUGGAACACAUCUCGCGCAUGCUCAUGGAGGAUGACGUUGUCGACAAGUUCACCUACCAAUACCCUGAUCACCCGAAGCUCCUGCAGGCCGAGCAACCCUUCGCCCAGAUCCUCUCCGCUGCUGCCACCAGCUCAUUCGAUGCCAAAAAGCUCAGAGAUGAUGGGUGAUGCGACCCAACCUAUGGCUUUCAUGCCUAUUCCCAGCACGGUCAAUGGAUCAGCCAUUACAAACUGAUUUGCUGGAAGUACAGCUUCACGUAUUGUAGUGCCAGCAGCAACAGAUUGUGAAGGGGAGCAUUUUUUGGAAUGGCUAACUACUCAGGUGUGUGUGUUACCUGCAGAGAGCAUGGUCAAUGGACCCACCAUCACGAACUCAAUGCCGUGUAUAACUUAAACAGGCAGUUUCGAGGGAAUUUCCUACGAAUCGGCACUUAUCAGUGAGUGUUACAGUUACCAUACACUGGUUUAGUUUUCAGAUAAAUAUUUAUUUUCCCCCGAAGCAGAGGUGUGAAACCCCCUGUUUCUACUACUGAAAUAUAUUGGCAUGGACGCAUCAUCUCAAAUCUUAUCUGCUCAAGACCCGGUGGAGACGACAAUUACGAGUACCAUUCUGCACACACGCCCAUCCACUCAUUUUUUCCACACUAAAAUCACAAACCGGCAGGGGAGAUAGAUAUAUGGGUGUGAACUACCUGCAGUCUCUGUCUUCCUUGGACCUGUUUUUGUCUGGGCGUGGAAGACUUUGCAAGUCACCGUCUCCCCUUUCAUUCGGCACAUCCAGAGAGAGAUGGAUCCUGCAAAAGAAACUCCCCGGAAAAGUAGUCUCCGCGUCAUGUAUGCAUCUUAACUAUCGUACACUGAAACUAUUUCAGAUUGCAUCGACAGUCCACGAAAUUCAGUUGGACUAACUAUUAUAUGCUGAAACAAUUUCAGGUUGCAUUAGCCGAUCUACGAAAUUCGGUUCCUAAUCACAGACAUAACCUACACCUAAUACAGCAGAAUAUGAGUAUCCGUGCAUGAAUCCAUCAUAGGCAAGAGUAUGGAGCAGAAAAGUGCUGGGAAUGCGAAAGAGUAAGCCCGUACGUACUCACAGAUUGAGCACUCGCCUUCACACAUAUCGUUGCGCCGACAUCCAUGGAUCCAAUCUGGCGGGGUAGCAGUAGCAUAUCCAUGGAUCGACGCAUCCUUCCUCCACAUCCUUGGUCUGGCAAUCCGGCGGGGUGACCCCGUGCGGACCUGUCGCCGGAAUCCAUGCGGCCGGCGGCGGCCUCGGAGCAGGUUACGGUGGGGAAUCGCCGCCCCUUCGCCGCCGAGCGCCAUCGCAGAAGCAAACCCACCCAAAUCCAGGUUAUGCUGGUUACUGUUUGGCCCAAAG
rnacentral:lncRNA from 1 species